ACAUCCAGUGCAAUUCCUAGGGUAUUGCACGGGGUGCAAUAGUUCUAAUCUCAGCCUUUGAUUUAAUCUAACGGUUGUAAAUAAUUGCCACGUCAUCGAUCCGUGUCUCACAUGGUGUUGGGCUAUCUUUCUUCACCUCUCCCCUUUCUAUUGUCUUCAGAUUCACCAAAUCCAAAUUUCAAAACUUUUCUCUCUUCCACCAAGUUGAAUCUCCAUAACCAUGGCUACAACUGGAAGCCUCCGAGGCCCACCGACCACCACCGGCGGUGCUUGCCGGUCUGACCUUGUCGUCUCUUAAGGUCCCUCUCUUUUCUCUUUCUCUCAAGUCCAGCCGUGGCCAAGCUUCUGCUUGCCCAACACCACCAUCUCUGGUGGCGGUGCUUCUCAGCGGCGUCACCAACGCUGGUGGCCGUCGGGACUGUGUAGAUGUUGAUGAGGCAUGUGUGUGUUGCUGAUGAGGCAUGCGUGUGUUGUUGCAUGGUGAGGCGCUGCAGGGUGUGCAUGGGCUGUUGAUGUGGGGUGCGUUUGCUGCUGAUGGGGCAUGCGUGUGCAGCUGAUGAGAUGUGCAUGUGCCAGUGUAGCCUGAGAGUAUAAUGUGUCUGUACUUUAGAUAAUGUUGUAUUUGAUUAGCUGGCAUUGUAUACUUGUAUUUUAGUAUAGAUAUACUUGUAUUACUUGUAUUGGUGAUAUGUUUACAUCAGCCUUGUGUGGCAUUAGAGUUAGUUGACAUAGUUAGUUAGUUGGAGGGAAUGGGCCAAUUAAGCAAGGUCACAAUGCUUAAGAUUUUUGAAGCAUUGAUCUUGAAGCAUGCAAGACUCUUUUUUUGGUUAUUAUGUGGGAAUUAGGUAAUAUGAUAGUGGAAAAAAUUGUCUAUGAUCGAGUUAUUAUGGCCUUGUAA